rnacentral:rRNA from 1 species
UACAGAGAGGGCAAGCGUUGUCCGGAAUGACUGGGCGUAAAGCGCGCGCAGGCGGUUUUUUAAGUUGGAUGUGAAAUCCCCGGGCUUAACCUGGGAACUGCAUACGAUACUGGGAAACUGGAGGCCGAGAGAGGAAAGCGGAAUGACGAGUGUAGAGGUGAAAUUCGUAGAUAAUCGUCGGAACACCGGAGGCGAAGGCGGCUUUCUGGAUCGGACCUGAAGCUGAGGCGCGAAAGCGUGGGGAGCAAACAGG